CACACGACUCUUGGCAACGGAUAUCUCGGCUCUCGCAUCGAUGAAGAACGUAGCGAAAUGCGAUACCUGGUGUGAAUUGCAGAAUCCCGCGAACCAUCGAGUCUUUGAACGCAAGUUGCGCCCGAGGCCACUCGGCCGAGGGCACGCCUGCCUGGGCGUCACGC
rnacentral:rRNA from 1 species